GACGAACGCUGGCGGCGUGCCUAAUACAUGCAAGUCGAGCGCAGGAAACUGACGGAACUCUUCGGAGGGAAGGCAGUGGAAUGAGCGGCGGACGGGUGAGUAACACGUAAGGAACCUGCCUCAAGGAUUGGGAUAACUCCGAGAAAUCGGAGCUAAUACCGGAUAGUUCAACGGACCGCAUGGUCCGCUGAUGAAAGGCGCUCCGGCGUCACCUUGAGAUGGCCUUGCGGUGCAUUAGCUAGUUGGUGGGGUAACGGCCCACCAAGGCGACGAUGCAUAGCGGACCUGAGAGGGUGAUCGGCCAACCUGGGACUGAGACACGGCCCAGACUCCUACGGGAGGCAGCAGUAGGGAAUCUUCCACAAUGGACGAAAGUCUGAUGGAGCAACGCCGCGUGAGUGAUGAAGGUUUUCGGAUCGUAAAACUCUGUUGUAAGGGAAGAACACGUACGUGAGGGAAUGCUCGUACCUUGACGGUACCUUACGAGAAAGCCACGGCUAACUACGUGCCAGCCGCCGCCGUAAAAC
rnacentral:rRNA from 1 species